UAGGGGAGCACAAUGGAUUACUAAAUAAUUUUGAUAAUUAUCAAAUUAUUAUGUUAUGUUCAAGAAUUAAUGUUAGAUGACACAUUAUAUAUGUUAUGCCCAAAGACUGAAAUUGCACAAUGACCAAAAAAAAACUUGUGAACAGUUUCAAAUGACCAAACACCAAUGCUAUAUUAGCAUCAGUGUUUGUUUAUUUGGAACAUUGGUGUUUGGACAUUAUUUCGCUUUGUGGCCAUUGAGGGGUAACCAUAACACAUUGUGGGCAAUUCUGUCAAAACCAAUAUACAUUCUGGGCAUUUUGAUAUAACCCUAGACCAUUCUGAAACCGUAUGAAACAGCAUAUGAUUGUAGUGCCAUGCUCCAUGUAUGGUGGCCAGAUGGCUGCGUGGUAACAUGUUGGCAUGUCAUAUAGGAGGACCUGUGUUUUCAUCCCAGGUCCUUUUAUGUGGCCAUCUCCAAUACACCACUAAAUGGUCAAAGUUCAACUUCUACUAACAGCGCGGGCAUGCUUUUUUUUGUUUUGCUAUUUUGCACUCG
rnacentral:lncRNA from 1 species